UAAAUUGACUGGUGAUGUCCCGUGGACACGU
rnacentral:piRNA from 1 species